GGAGAUCCCUGCCUGCACGUGGGGCGGUCCUGGUAGACCAGAAUGUGGGUGUGGGUCCCCCUUCCCUGUGGUUCUGGGGACCUUGAGGACAUGGUCAAUCCCGGGCAAGGGACCUGCCACCCCUGUAUGGGGUCAGGAACUGCUGGUUGGUCUCUGCUGGGCAGGCAACCUGGGGUCCAGCUCAAAUCGUUGGAAUGUGGAAGUCCUUCCUCUCGCCCCGUCCUGAGGAGCAGCUGCAGGAGCUUCAUGAGUGUUUUCACUGGAACUUGUGGAGGAGUUUCCUUUGAUCCCUCAUGGAGAGACGGAAGCAUGAGGGAGCCCUCAACAUUUAUUCUGAAGAUGAAGAGAGUCCUGCAGCUUUUUGGAGUUUGUGAAGUCAGCCCGGCCCUGUACAGAUGUGGAAACCGAGGCCCAGGAAGUUUGUGAGCCAGCCCGGCCCUGUACAGGUGUGGAAACCGAGGCCCAGGAAGUUUGUGAGCCAGCCCGGCCCUGUACAGAUGUGGAAACCGAGGCCCAGGAAGUUUGUGAGCCAGCCUGGCCCUGUACAGAUGUGGAAACCGAGGCGUAGGAAGGAAGCCCUUCUCUGACCUCAGAGCUGAAAUGGCCAGUGCUGGGUGGGCAUUGAGGGGUCACACAGAAAAGAAUGUUUCAGGCCAUGUUCAGGGGAUACUUCCUGCAGGGCCCUUGGAAAGUUCCGGAGCGCUUACAUUGUCCAUGUGUGAGUGUCUCCUCUUUCUUGCCUGUGUGGGGUUUUCUCAAAUGCUUUGAGUUGGCCAAACCACAGUUGUGCGCCACUUAACAGUGCGGAUACAUUCUGAGAAAAACCUCGUUAGGUGAUGUCGUCUUGCAAACAUUAAAGAGUGCAUUUACACAAGGCUGGCAGGCACGGCCUCCUGCACCCCCAGGCUGUGUGCCCGGGUGCCAGAGCCUGGGGCUCCUGGGCUGCAGACCUGCACAGCCUGUCACAGCAUUUAAUCACAUCCAAACACGGAAAAGGCAAAAACGUAAAGAUGCAGUGUUACAAUCCUAGGGGACUCCUGUCACCUGUGUGGUCUGUUCUUGACUAUUGUGAGUCACUGACUUUUCCCCCUGGGAAACUACCUUAACUUGUCUUCAACUGAAAUUUUUUCAGCCUGCAAAGAUGAGUUGUGCCUCAGAGGUUGCUCGUGUUCUGAGGUGCCUCUUCACCACUGCCUGUCAGGCUGCUAACCAGAGUGCCCCAGACCACAGCAGAAGCGACAGCAGCCAAGGAUCGGGGGAGCCCACCCUGCUCCUGGGUAUCUUUACGGCAGGCAGCAGAGUAACAGCCUCAGACUUACCUCUUCAGCCAGAGACCCCUCAGCCCAGGAGGAGUGAGGCCGGGCCAGCAGCGGGGGCCCGGGAAGCCCCAUGUCUUGGGACCUGCUGGGGCAGGGCCCCCUGGAUGUCAGGCUGCAGGUCCGGCAGCUGGGGAGGGGAUGAGGGCCUCCCACCAGCUCUGCCCAUCAGCCAGAUCCCUGGGAGAGGCAGCACUUGCUGGCCACAGAGUCGGCCCCAGUCUCACCUGGCUCCCCUCCCCCACCAGCUGGGCCCUGCACUGCCCCAGCCCACGCGGCGCCUCACCCCUCCUUGACAGAACAGUAUCUCUGGGACGGACAAGUUAAUCCAAGACCCACAGUAGCCCUGGAUCCCCUGGGAGAGGUGGCUGCCCAGCUCCAGGGCCAGCUUGGAGGAGCCAACUUCAAAAGCCUCCGCCUGGCCUGCCCCUCUGCAGUCCUCCAGGCAGCCUGUCCAGGGAAGCGGUUGGCUGGUGUUGGACCUGGUGCGGCAGUGCACACCCUGCCCAAGGACCCCAGGAUCAUGUGCGUGGCCUGCUGGCGGGAGUGAGGGAGGGCAAGACCCUGAAAGGCCCAUGGUGAGCAGCUGUGGGCCUCCUCUAGGGAGGGGGCUUACUUGGGUGGAGGGGCUGGGGGUACACACAGCUCAGGAGACACUGCUUGUUCCCCUGAGCCCCACCAGGAAAUCUCCGGUUGGCUCUGGUCACUGCGUCCCUGUGGGUGGCACUGGGUGCAUGUGCCCUGGCUUCUGGCAGUUGGGGGAGGGGGGCUCCUGGGUGCCGGGCAACCCUGUUCUAAGCUGGGCUGAGGCUUGAGCCUGGAAGUGGUACUAACAGGCCAGUUGGGACUCCCAGGGCAGCCAGUCUGCCCCACCUGGGUGGGACACAGCAGGUGCUGGACAUCCUUGCAGCUCCAGCUGGCCUGCUCAGGAGUCAGGCUCUGGUUCUCGCUAUGACCUCUGACCCAGAGCAGGCAGAGGGAAUGACGUGGCAAUUCUGAGCCCACCAAGUUGGCUGUGGCGUGUGUGGUUGGGGGGGUCAGGUUUCAGGAAGGGGCCACAGCAAGCCAUCUGCUCUUCCAGCCAUUGCUGCUUUGUGCUCUGAGCAGGAGCUGCCACCGCCCACCAGGCCCCCAGCUCUAUGCAAGGGUUGGGGUGCUGCUUGUUCAGGCUCCCCUGACAGGGCUAGGAAGCCGAGUCGAGUCCUCUUAUCUUGGUUGGGUUCGCAUGAUUAAUUUCCAGCCCUAGAUCUGCUGUCUGACUCCAUCCUGGGGGCCCAGGGGAAGGGUUGGGGCUGGCCCCUUUUGGGUGGCUGGGAACCUGGGGGCCGUCAGCUGUCUCCUUGAUGUUUGGGCUUUAUCCCUGCGGGCGCAGGCCCUCCAUUUUGGGUCGGGGGAGGCCUGUGGCACAGGCUGCCCGGAGGGAUGGCGUGGGGCGGCUGGUACAGGCAGAGGGGCCUUUUGCGACUGUUGGUUGGGGCUGGAUGUGGUGGCUCCUUCCUCCUCUAUAGCUUCUGGGUGUCCCCCUAGCUUUCCCCUUCCAAUAGGGUGUGGCUUGGAGCUCUGAGCCCCUGCCCCAGUUGGGUUGGGGGUACAAGGAGUCCCCAGUUCCCACGUCUCUGUGAGCUAACCCAGAGGGCGCCAGUAUGGGAGGUGUGGAGUUGAAUGGGCAUGGCCAUGAGUGAGACAGGCUGUACUGGGACAACUUCCUACUGUACCCCCAAGAGCCUGCAGACCAGCCCCACUAGAGCUGUACGGGGCUGGUGGGGGGCCCUGCUCUGUGCGGUCCUGAGGGUGCUCCACCCCUUGCUGGCCCCACUCCCACGUGGACCACAGAGCCAGGCUCUCCUGACUCUGGGCCUGCCCCCUCUAUCUCCUGAUGGGUUCUUCAGGACUCAGUGACAUCGCCUCCCAGCCGACAUCACUCACCCCUUUCACAUCUUUGCAGGGAGCAUAGAACUGUCUGGUUUGCAGACCUAUCUCUUGUGUCUCCUGAUUUAUCCCGCCAGGCCUGUGCCUACAGCCUUUCUUGAUUGGUGACACGUCCAUUUCAUUCGCUCAGAGAUCCCGUGGGGUGGGGCAGGGGGUGGGGCUUCUACGGAAACAAAGUGCAGGUGGGCUGGCUGCUCCCUGUGCUGGGAACACCCCCCAGGCCUAACCCCAACCUGCUGUCUCCUCCAGGUACCCCCUAAGCCUGCACUCUGGGCGCUCCUGCUGGCGCUGCUGGGGACCGCGCCAAGCCGCGCCUAUUCCCCGGCCUGCAGCGUCCCCGACGUGCUCCGCCACUAUCGCGCCAUCAUCUUCGAGGAUCUGCAGGCCGCCGUGAAGUGGGGCGGGGCGGGGGCCGAAAAGACCAGGCCAGGCUCCAGACACUUUCAUUUCAUACAGAAAAACCUGACUAGACCCGGGAGCUCGGGACGGCGGGGACGGCCUCGGGCCUCCUGUGGCGCCCAGAAGGAGCACAGUAUCCUCCUGUCCAUCUCGUCCCUGGGUCGGACCCUGCGCGGGGCGGUGGCCGGGGGCCGCCGCGGGGCCCUGGAGAGAGCUGCUUGGACCGUGGCUGUGCGCACCGAGGCGGUGAUGCGGCGCCACUGCAGGACGCUGCGCCAGCGGAGCCGGCGGCCCAAGAUGCGCCCUGCCCGGCGUCGCGGCGGCCGAAGGCAGCUCCUGCUGCGCGCCCUGGACGCCGUCGCCACCUGCUGGGAGAAGCUCUUCGCGCUGCGCGCCCCGGCCUCCAGGGACUCCUAGCGCGGCCCGUCCUGGCCCUGCGCGGGGAGGAGAACCAGCGGGGCCGCGGCAGAGCCUGGAGACGCGCCUCGUUCUGUAGACUUGUUGGUGACCUCGGCCCCUCGCUCGACGCAGCCCGCGCUCCCCGGAGGGCCCAGGACUUGGAGAAGGGAGCGCGCCUGGCCGCCGCUGGGUCACGGAGGAGGCCCGCCCUCCACGCGCCGAAGGCCUCAAUAAACGGAGCUGGCGCUGCGGGUCCGGCACUCCCUUCGCCUGCCUCUCUGUGGGCCUAGGACCGCCCCGGGAUCUGCGCCUCGGUGGCGGGGGGCGGUGGAGGGGGAAUGCGGAGACCCGCACUUCCUGUGGCACCUGGACGGGGCGGAGCCGCCGCUCCCAGCCUCGGGCAGCAGAGGGCGGACGCGGGACGCUGGGCGCGCUCCGGCUCUGUCAGCGGCUCCCGGCUGGGCGGAGGGCAGAGCGGGGGACUCCUGGGGCCCCUAAAACGUCACGUAUCCGUCCUGCUCCACUUUGGACCGGGGCCGGGGGUGGAAAUUGAGGGGAGGGGAAGGCUGGACUUGGUGAAUUCGGAGCAAAACAACCGGAUAAAGGAAACGGGCCCGAAGGGAAGCGGGAGCUGCGGGCCUUGGCUGUGAGCUUGGCCAGGCUAUUUCCUGCUGCCUCCGGAGGGGUGACCACGGCCUGGGCUCAGAGACUGCCCAGCCCCCUCUGCAGGACUGGCCAGGCUGGGGCCCGCUUUCUGGCCCCUGGAACCCUCCAUUUGCUGGGGGACUGUCCCCUGGUUCCCCCAUCUGAUGCGCAGGUCUGGGAGUCUGUCACCCCCCUCCCCCAAUCUCGGCCCAUGGAGGAGCAGGGGAGGUAAAGUACCUGACACCUGUUACCCUCCCCUUCCCGGAAAGGCCGCGAGCAGGCUGUGCCUCUGGCAUUCUGUGGGAUCAGGGGCAGCAGCAGAAGAAAGAAGUAACCUCCCAAGCUGACCCUGACCCAGCCCCACACUCUGUGUUAAUGUAUUUAGUCUGUGCAACGGGAGCUACUGUCUCUGUUUUAUAGAUGGGGAAACUGAAGCACGAGGAGGCUGAGACUUGCCCCAAAUCACAGCCAGCAAUGUAAGAGCUGGCCUCAGACCCAGGCCCAGGGCAUGGGAUCUGCCACAUGUCCCCUGCCUGGAGGCUGGGGGCCAAGCUUCCUGGACUUCAGAGCCUUGGA
rnacentral:lncRNA from 1 species